ensembl:misc_RNA Metazoa_SRP Metazoan signal recognition particle RNA
GCCGGGUGUGGUGGUGCAUGCCUGUAAUCCCAGCUACUUGGGAGGCUGAGGCAGGAGAAUUGCUUGAAUCCAGGAGGCAGAGGUUGCAGUGAGCCGAGAUCCUGCCACUGCACUCCAGCCUGGGCAACAGAGUGAGACUCUGUCUCAA